rnacentral:rRNA from 1 species
UACCAGCACCCCGAGUGGUCGGGACGUUUAUUGGGCCUAAAGCAUCCGUAGCCGGUUCUACAAGUCUUCCGUUAAAUCCACCUGCUUAACAGAUGGGCUGCGGAAGAUACUAUAGAGCUAGGAGGCGGGAGAGGCAAGCGGUACUCGAUGGGUAGGGGUAAAAUCCGUUGAUCCAUUGAAGACCACCAGUGGCGAAGGCGGCUUGCCAGAACGCGCUCGACGGUGAGGGAUGAAAGCUGGGGGAGCAAACCGGA